rnacentral:rRNA from 1 species
GGAAAGAUGAAAAGAACUUUGAAAAGAGAGUUAAAAAGUACGUGAAAUUGUUGAAAGGGAAACGUUUGAAGUUAGUGGAACUGGUACAAAAUCAGCUUACGCAUCAAGGCAAUUAGCGCAUUGGCGAGCCUAAAAACCGCCAUAGUCGACAUUCAAUUACUUGUGUGGGGUGCAUUUUUGUAUCGGCUGGUUAACAUCAAUUUUGACUGUCAUAAAAAGGCUAAAGGGGAUCUGGCUCCUUCGGGAGUGUUAUAACCUUUAGCGGAAUGUGGUGGUCGGGAUUGAGGAUUGCAACGAAUACCUUUAGGGCUGUUCCACCUGGCUUCUCUUUGGCAUCCUGGUGACGACAGCUUGCUGACGUUGUUAGGAUUCGCCUUUGAACAGGCUAGAGUGUGAGCAAAUUCGUUAAGGAUGUUAACGUAAUGGCUUUAAACGACCCGUCUUGAAACACGGACCA